rnacentral:lncRNA from 1 species
UUUUAAAGACAUUGAAGUCCCCUUAGGAUGGAUCGCCGAAAUAUAAAUUAUUGUCCUUGCAUUCCAUUAAUAUAUAACAAAAAUAGGCUUUAUUUAUUUUAAGAACUGAUCUUUGAACUACUUGCGUUUUGUUCAGUGUGGCGAAAGUGGUUACAAGAGAUCCAUAUUCUGCUUUCGAAAUUUAUGAACCUAGUGGCUCUUCAAUUUCCGGGAAGUCUCAAAGAGAUUCAUCUUCUGCUCUCGAAAUUUAUGAACCUAGUGGCUCUUCAAUUUCCAGGAAGUUUCAAAGAGAUUCAUCUUCUGCUCUUGAAAUUGAUGAACCUAGUGGCUCUUCAAUUUCUGGGAAGUCUCAGAGAGAUCCAUCUUCUGCUCUCGAAAUUGAUGAACCUAGUGGCUCUUCAAUUUCCGCGAAGUCUCAAAGAGAUCCGUCUUCUGCUCUCGAAAUUUAUGAACCUAGUGGCUCUUCAUUUUCCGAGAAGUCUCAAAGAGAUCCAUCUUUUGGUCUCAAAAUGGAUGAACCUAGUGGCUCUUCAAUUUCCGGGAAGUCUCAAAGAGAUCCAUCUUCUGCUCUCGAAAUUAAUGAACCUAGUGGCUCUUCAAUUUCCAAGAAGUCUCAAAGAGAUCCAUCUUCUGCUCUCAAAAUUUAUGAACCUAGUGGCGCUUCAAUUUCCGGGAAGUCUAAAAGAGAUCCAUCUUCUGCUCUCGAAAUUUAUGAACCUAGUGGCUUUACAGAGUUGACAACAUCCAAUGUCAAAAGAUUACUCUACAAAAUGAAAAAUAUUUUCCUACGGUGGCCGUACUUUGAUUGGAUGCAAAUGAUAUUGGUUGUGACUGUAAUAUCAGUCGAUCCUUUGUUUUUCUA